rnacentral:lncRNA from 1 species
UCCUCUUCUGCCUUUCAAGAAGGGUUGCUGCGCUCUCAGCUGCCUGCCACCCAAUUCCAUGAUGCUUGAGUUGCUUGAACUCAAAUCUUAUCGUAUAAAAGAGGCACGAAAUCUGCUGAUCUCAGUAGAAAGCCCCUGAAAGGAAAAUGGGACCUAAUGAAAAUCUGUGCUCUCUGCAAAAGGCGCAGCCUGCUGGAGGUGGGAGGAGCCUUGGACUGAGACCUUGGGAUGACAGUGAAUUAUUUAGCUUCUCUGAGCCUCAGGCAUUACUCUUAAGGCUGGAAGGCAGACCUGGAGAUAAGCUCUCUUGAAGUAUAUGGACAAAGACUUCGUACCCUAGUGAUGGCAGAGCCUGAAUCCCCAGUACCAUGGAGCUGCCAUACAGAUCCUGGCAAUUAAACCUGGCCUGCAGCAA